CAGCCAUGUGGUGAGCACAAAGCGAACUAUUCUUUCGCCUUUUACUAAAGAAUACCGUGUGCUCUCCACUCUUAAGUGGCAUACGCCUAUUUUUGGAGGGUUCUGCUUUUUAAGUGGACC
rfam:Brassica napus, WGS project CCCW01000000 data, contig: 5573